AUAUUGUUGGCACCUGGUGAAACUGCAUCAAUUUGUUUUGUGUUUUUGCCUACAUGGUUGGGUUUAUCUUCAGCGCAGUUUGUUUUGCAGACUAGCUCCGGUGGUUUCUUGGUUCAGGCUAAGGGCUUUACUGUUGAAUCUCCAUAUCACAUACAGCCUUUAGUCGGUCUUGAUAUUUCCUCUAGUGGAAGGCUGAGUAAAAAUCUUUCUUUGUAUAAUCCUUACAAUGAAG
rnacentral:misc_RNA from 1 species